rnacentral:rRNA from 1 species
CCCUUAGACGCUCUAGGCGGCGCGCGCGCUACAAUGGGUGGUAGAACGUGUAACUGCUCCCGAAAGGGAGGGUGAACCACGAAUACUUACCCGUGAAUGGGAUAGUUUGUUGCAAUUUUCGGACUUGAACUAGGAAUCCCUUGUAAGAAUGCUCAAGAAUAGCGUGCUGAAUACGUCCCUGCCGUUUGUACACACCGCCCGUCGUUUCUUCCGACUGAUACUCAUUGUGAGUUGCAAGGAUUCUUAUUGAAAAAUUGCUGCGAAUGCUUUGUAUUGGAGGAAGAAAAAGUCGUAACA